GGGGAGCCUUACUGGGCAGUCGAGGGGCAUCGGGAGGGAAGCUUGCUUUCCUUGCCGGCGACCGGCGCACGGGUGAGUAACACGUAUGCAACCUGCCCUCUUCAGGGGGACAACCUUCCGAAAGGGAGGCUAAUCCCGCGUAUAUCGGUUUCGGGCAUCCGUUAUCGAGGAAAGAUUCAUCGGAAGAGGAUGGGCAUGCGGCGCAUUAGCUAGACGGCGGGGUAACGGCCCACCGUGGCGACGAUGCGUAGGGGUUCUGAGAGGAAGGUCCCCCACACUGGUACUGAGACACGGACCAGACUCCUACGGGAGGCAGCAGUGAGGAGUAUUGGUCAAUGGGAGAGAUCCUGAACCAGCCAAGCCGCGUGAGGGAAGACGGCCCUAUGGGUUGUAAACCUCUUUUGUCGGAGAACAAAACCCGGGACGAGUCCCGGACUGCGUGUAUCCGAAGAAAAAGCAUCGGCUAACUCCGUGCCAGCAGCCGCGGUAAUACGGAGGAUGCGAGCGUUAUCCGGAUUUAUUGGGUUUAAAGGGUGCGUAGGCGGUCCGUUAAGUCAGCGGUAAAAUUGCGGGGCUCAACCCCGUCGAGCCGUUGAAACUGGCAGACUUGAGUUGGCGAGAAGUACGCGGAAUGCGCGGUGUAGCGGUGAAAUGCAUAGAUAUCGCGCAGAACUCCGAUUGCGAAGGCAGCGUACCGGCGCCAGACUGACGCUGAGGCACGAAAGCGUGGGGAUCGAACAGGAUUAGAUACCCUGGUAGUCCACGCAGUAAACGAUGAAUGCUGGUUGUCCGGGUCGAAU
rnacentral:rRNA from 1 species